rnacentral:rRNA from 1 species
UAAGUCAGGAGUCAGUCACAUGUUUCCGUAGGUGCACCUGCGGAACGAUCAGUA